UACGUAGGGUGCAAGCGUUGUCCGGAUUUACUGGGCGUAAAGGGCGCGUAGGCGGUCGUGACAAGUCACUUGUGAAAUCUCCGGGCUUAACUCGGAACGGUCAAGUGAUACUGUCGGACUAGAGUACAGAAGGGGCAACUGGAAUUCUCGGUGUAGCGGUGAAAUGCGUAGAUAUCGAGAGGAACACCUGCGGCGAAGGCGGGUUGCUGGGCUGAUACUGACGCUGAGGCGCGAAAGCCAGGGGAGCGAACGGG
rnacentral:rRNA from 1 species